rnacentral:lncRNA from 11 species
GACAUCUUUACAUGUUCUCAAUGUUAAACAGGCUGCUACAUCUAUAUUAACUACAUGUUUUAAUACAGAUGUGUCUGUGAAUGGAACGAUGUUUCAUUGCGACAUAUUUAAAAGCCAACCGAAGCGAGAUUGUGCUGUUUACUGUGCAGCCGAUUGCUUUGGAGCAAAAAGCAUUUUACAGGUUUUUUUUGUCCUACUUCAAGUAGCAUAGUACUUACGUAACACUAUGUUUAUUUGUUAUUUGAGGUUACAUUCCUCAUCUUUCGUUCUGUAGCUUUCGGAAGACUUCUAAUCCGUUUGCUGUGUACAUGUACAGGUGCAUGAAGGUCCGCAGCGGCAUCAUCGUUUCGAUACGUUUCAAGCUUACGUCGACGACGUUGUCGAGCGACUCACUUUUAGGUAUCUGGCAGGUAUUUGUGCCCAUGAUCACAACGUAGAGGUUAUGUAAGCAACACGAAAACCGAGUAGCAGUCAACUCACAGCUUUCCCGAUGCCAGACCCGGAAUACUUCACAUAACUUUAUCACACUAUGAAUAUGUGUAUAUGACGAUGGACCUUUUUGCGUAACUCAUAAUAACUUAUUGUCAUGACAAAUGUUUGCUGCACGUCCAAAUCUCAAAGCCGUAUAUUAACGAUUGCUUUCCUAGUAAUUCACAACUAGCCAGCAGUGGAAAUAGCUAGCUAAGUAAAAUCUCAGUCGUGUUAUAUUCUUUUUUGUAAACUUAACAAGUUAGAUCGGUCAUGCGGGGCGAAACAGUAAACCGCUAUGAGUACAUGCAGGUUGAAUAGACCCGCCACCGGUAAAUGCCCGCUAUCUACAAUUGAAUCCGCAUUGACAGCGCGAGAGUCCCGAGUGAAUUUCUGGCCACGAUCUGGAACGAUGAUGUAUUAAACAUCUCGAUAACAUUCGUUACGUGACUAUUACAGUCGGUGCUUCUGCGAAAAGCUUUCGUUUGCCUGCUCCACAAAACUAAGUCGAUCUAUUGUCUAAACAUAGAUAUACUUAAAGUCGUGCAGGACGGCCAUUAUUCUGUCAUAUAUAGACAGUUGAUGUAAGGACAGCAUCUUGUUGUGCCAAUGUGAUUUAAAGUUGACGAGGUCUACGGAAGACGACCUGUGUUUGCUCGCCUGCUCUAUUCUCGCUAUUGUCUUAAACUUACCUUCGCAGCAACUAUCUACGGUUAAUAUUUUGCCAAGUUGAAUCAAGCCAAUACCCUGCGCGUCUAGUUGGCUCUCGAGCACCGAGAUACAUAUCUAUUGUAUGAUAUGAAGACUAUCUAGAGAUACAAACCGCGUCUGUUUUCGCGAGGUUUAUAGUGAUGUUCGUGUCUUAUCAGAAAAAAACCAACCAGAGCGGCAUAGUACGGAAAAAUGCCAUUGUACAGAAUCAAGAGAUGGCAUCGGCGAUUCUGCUUCUUCGUUCAUCGGGAUAAUGAAUGGAUGAUACCCUGACAGUUCAUGAACAUGAGAAGACUAAUCAUGGAUCUUGUUAUCGAAUAAGAGUCGAGUCAUGAUGAAUGUCCUGGUUAGAAGGACAAGUAGCCACAUGUCCGGUAAGCUUCAGGAGAUGAAAUAUGCGAAGAGCGAUGUCCUACGUUCUGCGGAAAAUAUCGAAUGAGCAAAAAGCUCAACCCCAUUGGCUGACCGUUAAUAACCAUUGGGGAAGAGCGUUAUUAAAUGAAAUUAUCUCGUAGUCUUGUUAUUGUUUUCAGUAUUAUCAUUAUUCAGUAUUCUCAGUAUUCAUUUAUGUAUCCGACGUGAGAUCGGUUUCAAUAGAAGCCUAAAAAUCUAUUAGAUAGACUAUUGUUCAUGCUUAAGCAAAAGCUCCGGAUGCAUUAAACGGCUCAAACUAACGAAGCCAAUCUAAUUAUCAUUUGACGAAUAUAAGCAUCGCUCUCUUGUGUAUAAAAUAAUUCGUGACUGACUUUGGCCUAAUUAAAUGAUGUUUUAAUUCAAUUUUAGAAAGCAGAAAAUCAA